GAUGAAGAACGUAGCAAAAUGCGAUAAGUAAUGUGAAUUGCAGAAUUCAGUGAAUCAUCGAAUCUUUGAACGCACAUUGCGCCCGCUGGUAUUCCGGCGGGCAUGCCUGUUCGAGCGUCAUUUCAACCCUCAAGCCCCCCGGGUUUGGUGUUGGGGAUCGGCUCUGCCUCACGGCGGUGCCGCCCCCGAAAUAUAUUGGCGGUCUCGCUGCAGCCUCCAUUGCGUAGUAGCUAACACCUCGCAACUGGAACGCGGCGCGGCCAUGCCGUAAAACCCCAACUUCUGAAUGUUGACCUCGGAUCAGGUAGGAAUACCCGCUGAACUUAAGCAUAUCAAUAAGCGGAGGA
rnacentral:misc_RNA from 1 species